rnacentral:lncRNA from 1 species
GAUGAUUAACAAGUGGGAGAGCUUGGUGUUCAAAGAGGGUUCAUGUGAGAUGGAUGUGUGGCCUUAUCUUGAAAAUUUAACCAGCGACGUGAUUUCUCGAGCUGCAUUUGGAAGUAGCUACGAAGAGGGAAGGAGAAUAUUUCAACUACUCAGAGAGGAAGCAAAAUUUUAUACAAUCGCCGCACGAAGUGUAUACAUUCCAGGGUGGAGGUACGAGACUAAAUGUAAAAGUACUGAAUCUUGAUAUUUAUCAUAGAGACACAUAUCCAUAUUAAUCUUGCAUGAAAGAAGUACUUGUUCUUCUUCAUGUCUUCACAAAACCAUUGAAGUGCUGCCUUUUUUUGUGUGCAGGUUUCUACCAACCAAGCAUAACAAGAGGAUGAAGGAAAUUCACAAGGAAGUUAGAGGCUUACUGAAGGGUGUUAUAAAUAAAAGAGAAGACGCGAUUAAGGCAGGUGAAGCUGCUAAAGGUGACUUAUUAGGUAUACUUAUGGAGUCCAACUUCAGGGAAAUUCAGGAACAUGGGAACAACAAAAACGCUGGAAUGAGUAUUGAAGAUGUAAUUGGAGAGUGUAAGUUGUUUUACUUUGCUGGGCAAGAGACCACUUCUGUGCUGCUUGUUUGGACAUUGGUUUUACUCAGCCAAAAUCAGGAUUGGCAAGCUCGUGCAAGAGAAGAGGUCUUGCAAGUUUUUGGAACCAACAUCCCAACCUAUGAUCAGCUCAGUCACCUAAAAGUUGUAAGUACACAACUUUUAAUUUUAAAGUUUUCUAUCGAUUACGUAAAACAACAAAAAUUAAUCAGACAUUUGACAUGUUAGCACUUUCAGGCCUAAUUGGGAUGUGUGGAUUUGCUUCUAAACUUUUGAAUGUCAUCAAACAACUCAUUUUGUUGGAUUAGUGAUCACUUGAUGCUUUAUGAUGCCCCAGGUGACCAUGAUUUUACUUGAAGUUCUUCGAUUAUACCCAGCAGUUGUUGAGCUCCCACGAACUACUUACAAGAAAACACAGCUUGGAAAGUUCUCAUUGCCGGCCGGAGUCGAAGUCUCCUUACACAUAAUGCUUGCUCACCAUGAUAAAGAAUUGUGGGGUGAGGAUGCAAAGGAGUUUAAACCAGAGAGGUUUUCAGAAGGAGUUUCAAAGGCAACAAAGAACCAGUUUACAUACUUCCCUUUCGGAGCUGGUCCACGGAUUUGCAUUGGACAGAACUUUGCUAUGCUGGAAGCUAAAUUGGCCUUGUCAUUGAUUCUACAACACUUUACCUUUGAGCUCUCUCCAUCGUAUGCUCAUGCUCCGUCCGUAACUAUAACCCUUCAUCCACAAUUUGGUGCUCAUUUCAUUUUACACAAACGUUGAUUAGUGCUGAAGUAUAUCGAUUGUGGGCAAAAAGUUUAAUGAUAAAGACACACCAAAUAAAGAUAGCCAUAGUUUGAGCCACAUGAAUAUUUUCUUAUAAUUGUCGUUACUUACUUGUAGCGAAUACAUGAGAUGAGUUUAUAAGAAAAAAAGAAUUUGACUGAUGGAAGGUUAUCUGUCAGCCUCACUUUGCCACUAUAUUCGAUCUACUAAUGGCUUGCACAUUAUUAAUAUUUAAAUAGUGAACCUGCAAACGAGGACUCGCUAAUGUAAUGGUUUGCAGCAAUUGUUAUUUCUCCAUAAAAAGUUAUGGAUUCGAGUCUUAGCAUUCGUGUAGUGUGUAUGAGUUUAGUAAUACUAUCACUCCACCUUGUGAAACUGUUGAAUCAUACAUAUAACAUAAAAAAGAAUCCCUUCAAUCUCCACGUCCUUGCUAGCUUCUUGAUUUAACAUAUUAAUCAAACUAAGUGAAUCUGAUGUUGGCGAGUCCUUACUUAGUUAGGAUUUUGGUUACUUACCUAUUUAUCUAGUCCUAUUAUAAUUGAGAUUUAUUUUAUAUUGUAAUUUGGAUUUAUUUCCUAUUUUAUUUAGGGUUAACACAUCUUGGACUUGUAUAAAUACCUCAAUAUUGGAAAAGAAUAAUAAUCUGAGUGAAUAUGAGCAUAUCUAAAUAUUUGCCAUACUUUGUUUGACAUGGUAUCAGAGUCAGGUUCAUAACCUGUGAUAACCUUUGCCAAAUUGAGAGUCGUUGACACUCCUUAUUCCUAACUCAUCAUGGGUCUUCAUCUUGUAUAGUCAUCUUCUUUUGUUCAUCCUCUUAUAUGUGUUUUCACCGCACCUAGCCUUCACAUGCUUCUUUGCUACUGUUCCAAAUUUUUUAUUUUUCAUCUUUGUAUGCCAGAUGGUCUUUCUUGAUGUCUCAGCUUCUCUAUCUUUGAAACUUCAUAACAAGUCUCUUUACUCCAUAAGCCUCAUCACCUCUCACCGAGCCGUUGCUGUCCUCCACGAGCCUCGUCACCGCUCGCCGAGCCUUUCCUUUGACUGUUAUGCGGGUCUCUGUCUUCUUCGGCUGCUCUCUUGAGUUGCCUUUCCGCUUCUCAAUUUGAGCACUUUAUCUUUGUCUUUGUCUUUGUUCAUGAUUUGCUGGGUUUCCUCUCUUACUAUUCUCAUUUUCUGUAGUUUUUUCUUCAUGGGACAGUCGUAUGCUAUCACCUUCCCCUCUUACAUUUGUUUCUGCCAUGAGACUGGCAUGUUUGAGUCUCUUUACUAUUAUUUCAAUAUCUGUUCUUUCAAAUCUCGACCCUUUACCAGUGUCGGAUUUGAUGGUGAGAUAGAUGCAACUUUAUUUGAGUGUUGCAACUUUAUUUUUUGGUAUUGCUUUCUCCAAAUCUCGACUCUCAUACAUUGUCGAAUUUGAGGGGGAGUGACACUGCUGCUCAUCUAUUCCGCUGCAAUUUGACACCACUACUCAUUUAUUCCGCUGCAAUUCACCUACCUAUUUGCCAUGGCUGAUUCUUUUACAUCUGAGCGUUAGUUAGCUUCUGUUUCUUAAGUGCCACCUUUUUUUAUAGUUCCGACGACCCCUUCUCUUCAGGGGGACAGGGGGAGUGAAGAGAAGUUGUCUCUGCAAUAAUGGAAGUAUUUGUCAUUGUUAUUGUUGCUGACUACUAUGUUCUUUACUGGCGCCAGUACAGUUGCUCAUACCUGUUAAGUUUCUUACUGGGGACAAUGUUAUUGCUCCUGCCUAUUAUGACUCUUGUUGGGGACAGUGUUGAUUACUGUUGAUGAUACUUGUUAUGUCCAUGCCUUGUUGCUCUUACUGGUGCCAGUGCCUUGUAUUGCUGUUGUUAGUACCAGUAUUGUUACUCCUGCCUGUUAUGGUGCAAAUAUUGUUGCUCAUGUGUUUGCUGGUGUGUUUCCGUUGUGGUCACGCCCGUUGACCUUACCUUUGCUCUUGACUUUCUUUGCCUUACCUAUUGCCAUGCUCACAGGAUUUUUGUGUUAUGCCUUAUCUGCUGCCGUGCUCACAGGGUUUCUGUGUUAUGCUUUACCUAUUGUCGUGCUCACAGGGUUUCUGUGUUUUGCCUUACCUAUUGCUGUGCUCAUAGGGUUUCUGUGUUUUGCCUUAUCUACGGCCAUGCUCACAGGAUUUCUGUGUUCUGCUAUGUGCCAUAUUUUUUAGGGUUUGCUCUUGUGUUUCCGCUGCGAACUUUGCUUUAGUUUGUCACUUGUUUCACUCGUGGUUGACUAAAAGAUUUUUUCUACAAUUGGUGCUUCUCAAAUAUGUUGUUCUGUGACUCGCUUGUCAAGUUGGGCCUGCGAAAUAUCUUUUCUCAACUUGAGGAGGACUAGUGUUGGCGAAUCCUUACUUAGUUAGAAUUUGAGUUCCUUACCAUGUUAGGAUUUUGGUUACUUACCUAUUUAUCUAGUCCUAUUAUAAUUGAGAUUUAUUUUAUAUUGUAAUUUGGAUUUAUUUUCUAUUUUAUUUAGGGUUAACACAUCUUUGUAUUUGUAUAAAUACCUCCAUAUUAAAGAAAGAUAAUAAUAUAAAUGAACCUGAGUAUAUCUAAAUAUUUACUCUACUUGAUUUGACAUCUGAUUCCACCACUACCGUAUCAUACCCAAAUUCCAAGCAACGGAUUAGAGCUUCCCGCACCGCCUCAGCCUCCACCAUUAAAGCUGACACGCAGAGCAAAUCCCCGUGCCACCUGCACAAUGGAAAUAGCCAAUGCCAUCCCGAAGUACCCACCCCACCCCUUGGCCUAUUUUCAUCGUCAGCUUGCACAACCACUCCAUUGAAGACUACCUCAUUUCGAUAUUUCCAAAUCCACUAGAGGACAAAAGCCACUAUUUGCAAAACAUCACAUCUCCAAUCUUGAGUUUCAUUCAAGGCCAGCAAUCCCAUCCAGCAUGCCAUAAAAUCUCCACCUCUGAGUUGUCGUAUGUCAAGUUGCAGGGGACUUGCAAACCUUGGAUUCAAUAUACAAAAAAAAAUUAUUGUGUGAUACUGGAAUAUGACUAUACGUGAUAUGUUAGCACACUAUAGUUAAUAAUUACUCCCAACACACACAUUAUAAUGUGGAUGAAAUUGAUAAGCUCAAGUUGAUAUGUUACUGUCACACUCAAUAUUACUUUAAAUAUUAUAAAACUAAAGAAAUUAUGAAGAGAAUAUAGAGAAUACAAAUAGCAAUAGAAAUGCUCUUCUGAUAUUUUCAUUGAGUCUUGCUCUCUCAAUUACAAAUGAGAAUGAAGCCAUGUUUUAUAGGCAAAACCUUGCCUAACAAUUAGGUAAAAAGAAAGCUCCUGAAAGGUGUACAUAAAUUUCCGCCCAACAUAUGAGCUCCACUUAUUAACUUCACAACAUCAAGAACCAUACAAUUGUAAUUUGUAUUUUUCAGGUGGUGCCAAUUUACUCAUGUUAUAAUUUCUUCAUUUAACCUUGUUACAAUUAACACGUGUACGGUUUUAAUUUCAAUCAUACACUCUCCAACACUCGGUCAUUAUUUUAUGUCUUUGUUUCUGACUCUAUUAAUGUUUCAAUUUUCUACAAAGAAGAAGGGACCGCGGCUUUCUAAAGAGGUCACACUCCAAAUUCGUCACUUUUCUUCUAGAAACGGUAUCUUUUCGUUAUCUACGCCACCAAUUAUCCCACGUUAUUUCUAGAAGCUAGAAUAAGACAGGCCUAGUAGUGACUAGUUAGUGGAGAUUAUCCGAUGCGCCGACUUCAUCCAAUGUGAAAGUAACGACAGAGAUCACUCAACGCUUUCAGGAUCACCUUCCCUAAACGCAUAAAACGCAUAAAACGACACACAGCACACAGCAGAUUCUUAACCCAUUACCUUUUUGAUAAUAUUGUAGGUAACUACAAGGGUUGCGUCUGGGAUAUGAUUUUUGGCUGUUAUUAGCAUGUCGGUGAAGGGUUUUGAUAGGACAAAAGUUUGUGCAAUGAUUAUACUGUAUAUGAAGUUCCGUGGUUAAAUUUCACCCAUUAUUUGAGAUCUAACAUGUAUAAAAACCUUGCAUCAUCAUCUCCUCCCCCUCCAAACAAGUUCUCUUCAGUAGAACAGAAUCCAUCUCUCUUUCUCUCACAGAUUAAGUACAGAUGGAAGCAUCAAGGGCUACUUGUGUUGCGCUAUGUGUUGUUUGGGUGGGCAUAGUAAUUACAUGGGCAUGGAGGGUGCUGAAUUGGGUGUGGUUGAGGCCAAAGAAACUAGAAAAAUGCUUGAGGGAGCAAGGCCUUGCAGGCAAUUCUUACAGGAUUUUGUUUGGAGACACCAAGGAUCUCUCAAAGAUGCUCGAACAAACACAAUCCAAACCCAUCAAACUCUCCACCUCCCAUGAUAUAGCGCCACGUGUCACCCCAUUUUUCCAUCAAACUCUGAACUCUUAUGGUAUGCCAAAUCUUUAUUUACAUUCACAUAUCCGUUGUUAGAAUUUAGGAGGUGUGUGAUUCUGACAUCGUUAUUGGUUUAUGUGAUGAAGUGGUUUAAGACAAUCUUUGCCUAUUUAUAGGCAAUCUUUGUCGACAUCACCAAGAAGUCCACCGACUUGGUUUCAUAUAUAAUAUUCUAUAUUGUACAAUAUUAUUUGUGUGGCUAUUGUUUAGCCAUCAUGCUCCACCGCCUUGUUCUUUUCUCCAGCCACAAGUGUGUGGCUUCAUCUAGAAUAUUCUUUUCAUAUUUUUUGUGUGUUGCCGACAUUCCAUCAUCUAGUUUGUAGUUUCUUGAGUUUUCUAGAAUUCUGUAGUUACAUCUACAAAAAUAUGCAUUGCUUUUUCAACAUCCAUGUAUAUAUGUGUGUAAUCUUCAGCUUGGAUGAGUUAAAACAUAAAUAAAAAAGGAGAUUUAUUAUUAUACCUAAAUAAUAAUAAAAAUAUUAUAUAAAAUAGACUUUAGAUACACACUUAAAAUUCAUUUACAACAUAACAAAGAGAUUUUAACUUCUUAUAAAUUACAAAACUGUCAUCAAUUUAUUAAAAUAAAUUCAACCUCAAAACCUCAUAAAAAUAACCAAAACACUGAAUAAGGCAUUAAAUCUUAGUUGGGAUGCUUAUGCCAGAGUUUCUUCGAUCAUACCUGAUCGUUAGUGGAGACACACCAGAUUGUUUUAAUUUUAAUAUUAGACCGCUUUGUUAUUGUAAUGGCCCUUUUAUAGCGAGUUUGUAUUGGCCCUUUGUGGCUAGUGGCUUUUUUAGCUGAAUUAUGAAUGCAAUCAUAGAAUUUCUCAACAAAAAAGAAAGGCAUCAAAGAAAUUUAAUAAACAAAAUUAAAUGCAAUAAGGUCAGCUGUCAUUUUUUGAGUUUGUUUAUAGAAAUUAAAUGAUAUAUAAUUUAUCUACAUUAUUAGUGCUAAGAAUGGAUAUAUAUAACUAAAUAUCUCAAAUGAAAAUUGCAGGGAAGAAUUCUUUUGUUUGGAUGGGCCCCAUACCAAGAGUGCACAUCAUGAAUCCGGAAGAUUUGAAAGAUACCUUCAACAGACAUGAUGAUUUUCAUAAGGUAGUAAAAAAUCCUAUCAUGAAGUCUCUACCACAGGGCAUUGUAGGCAUUGAAGGUGAUCAAUGGGCUAAACACAGAAAGAUUAUCAACCCAGCAUUCCAUUUAGAGAAGCUAAAGGUAUUGUAAGCUCUCACCAACAUCCCUAUAUGUUGAAAAUUUUGGUUUUUUUUUUCUAUUUUGGUUUAUUUAUUUUUCCUUGUUUGCUAUAGGGUAUGGUACCAAUAUUUUACCAAAGUUGUAGCGAGAUGAUUAACAUAUGGAAGAGCUUGGUGUCCAAAGAGAGUUCAUGUGAGUUGGAUGUGUGGCCGUAUCUUGAAAAUUUUACCAGCGAUGUGAUUUCCCGAGCUGCAUUUGGAAGUAGCUAUGAAGAGGGAAGGAAAAUAUUUCAACUACUAAGAGAGGAAGCGAAAGUUUAUACGGUGGCUGUGCGAAGUGUUUACAUUCCAGGAUGGAGGUAAAAAUGAAAGAAAAGAAUAAUCAUCUGAGACUGGGAGAGUACCCAUUGAAGUGC